AUGUGGGGCGGGAGGAGCGGGGCCUUGCCCCGGGUGUGGGGGUUGUGGCUGACAGGGGUCCUCGGAAGGCGACCGCUAAGCGGCAAUGCUGCGUCGCUAGCCGGAAGCAACUCCCCCCAGUGUUGGAACUGCGGCGGCCCAGGGGGUCCCAUUCGGGGGGACGGGUUCUUCUGCCCACAGUGCCGGGCGCUGCAGCCGCCUGACCCCACUCGAGACCACUUCAGCCUCAUGGACUGCAAUCGUUCCUUCAAAGUUGAUACUGCAAAGCUCCAGCAUAGGUACCAGCAACUACAGCGUCUUGUCCAUCCAGAUUUCUUUGGCCAGCGGUCUCAGACUGAAAAGGACUUCUCAGAGAAGCAUUCGACCCUGGUGAAUGACGCCUAUAAGACCCUUCUGGCCCCCCUGAGCAGGGGACUAUACCUUCUAAAGCUCCAUGGAGUAGAGAUUCCUGAAGGAACAGAUUAUGAAAUGGACAGGCAAUUCCUCAUGGAAAUAAUGGAUAUCAAUGAAAAACUCGCAGAAGCUCAAAGUGAAGCUGCCAUGAAAGAGAUUGAAUAUAUUGUAAGAGCUAAACAGGAAGAAUUGACUGACUGUGUGAGCAGAGCUUUUGAACAAGAUGAAGAAACAAGUUCCCAGAAGAGAAGUGGGGAAACAUCACUAGGACCUCAUGGAUCUCCUGCUCACAAUAGCACACACCAGUAGCAGACAAGGUGGUUUGAAUUGCAAACUUCCUUAAGCCACCUUGGUUGUGCAUAACUAUCAGGUUCCUCUCCGUAUCACAAACCACUAAGUGUAUGAGACCAUUGUGAGGGCAACGGACAUGGAGAAAGAUGACCUGGAAGCAUUUCGCAAGGAAAGCCCGUGGGACUCGCUGACUGAUUAAACCCAGGGGCGAGCAGGACAGAGGCCUCCCUUAGGUUUUUGGUGAGAAAGAGAAAAGCAUCACCCGGCAGCUGCAGCCAGCAGUCAGGUGGGAUCUGGUGUCUUCCUUUUCAACAAUUUCACAGAAUGUCAACAUCAAACAGGGACCAAGAUGUGGCUUUGACGGAUCAAGAUAAAAGCAAGACUCCUUUGCAGCCUGAGUACACACAAAAAUGUGCACUUUGUCUCAACCACGAAAAUGACCAAAUAUCCCCGAUCCCGGCCAACAGGAAGGACUGUUGCUUCCUUGCCAAUUACGGGGUUAGCUGACUUUCAUUCCUCGCACCUUCUAGAAAAGAUUGACUAAAGAUACCCAGUCAGAGAAUUGUCC